rnacentral:lncRNA from 1 species
GGCCUCACUCUCUGCAGGCGCAGGUCCCGCGCAGCGCGGUUGAAAACGUCACGUGGGCGCACGCGCCGCCAGUCAUAGAGGCGGGAGCGGCAGGGUAGAGCGGCAUUGUGCUGGCGCGCUCCCUGAGCCGCCAUCUCGGUUGUGGGCAGGAGCUGUGGGGCUGGCUGUUUUGAGUUUUCACUGUCUUUGGGUUCCGCUUCUGUUUUUGCUGCAGUUAUCUGUCUAUUGGCUGAAAUUCAUCAGCUAUGCUGCGUUGCUUUUCCUCUGCUCUGCGACUUUUAUUUAGUGAGAUGGUCAUAAAAUCCCCUAAACAGGCAUCAGAUGUCUAGGUCCAGUUUUCUCUUGUGUGGCCUUGCUGUGUGAGGGCAUGCUGAGAACGUGGCUGCUUCUGGGGCAGGAGCGCGCUGGGAACUGGAUGGCAGCACAGGGGAGUGGAAGGGCAAUUUUUAAGGAAAAUGAAGUAGUGUGUGUAAAUCCCCUAGAGAGUAAUGUUUUUUAAGGUGAACAUAAACAGCUGCAGUGCUCUUGCCUGAACUAACCUCCCUAGAACAGAACUUCCUGAACUAAUGCAUGACACAUUGAGGCAUUGCUGUUUUCCACGAUAACAAAUAAGAAUUGGAUCCUGAAGCCCUCUGGUGGAUGUGCUGCAGAAGGCAGACAUCUGAGAAGUGGUCUUGCCGAAUGGUGCCCGCUGCUUCCAAUCCAGGACACCAGUUCACCGCUGACCUGGGCUCUGGCACCAAGCACUGCUUUGCUGAUUCUGCUGAAUGCAACAGGGCUUCUCUUCGGAGGACUGCAAAGCAGUGAGCCUGCUAGUCUCACUUGUGAGAGCUGCCAGGAGCACAACACAAAGUACUUCAAACCAUGCAGCUUGGCUUGUGGGUGCUUAAACAGGGGGAGUGAAAUCCUGCACCCUCUGUUUCCCCAGAAAGGUAGUGGCCUGAUGCCACCAACUUGAAAGGGUGUGAGUUUUUGCCCUGUUUUUGCCGAGGUCACCGGGGGAGUGGUGGUCCUUGUUUCUGGGAAUUUGUGAUAGAUUUUAGUUUCCUAUAAAAAAAAAGCUGACUGGAUUGGAGGCUGAAUACUUAAAUCUGCAGUAGAAAUCUUUGCCCUGAAAAACAUGUAGACCAGAUUGUAUGAAGCCAUGGCAGACUAUUUGCAUCUACUCCUUGGUAUCCUCUAAAACUGUAACUCGCUGCGUCAUCAUUCUUGCACUGCAGCACAGACACACAGAGCUGAAGUUGAAGAGCUAUCAGUUUGCAAUUCCAAAUGCUUGGGAAUUCCUGAUUUAAAUACAGGCAAAGUAAGUAUUGUUAAAUGUGCUUUACAAAGUGCAUAAAUGUCUGAGUUAGAUGACAAUUCCUGGCUGAUUUUUCUGCGCCCCAGUGCCUCAAACAUGAACUCAUGCACUCGCUAAAACUUCAAUUGAUAAGCUCUUCAGAGGCACAUCUCCUUUGUGAACGGACCUGAUGACAAUUUAUGAAAAGGAAUGUUUCCUUACAGUACUGAAAGAAAAGCAGUAAGAGAAGCUGGAAGUUGACACCAUAGCAACUGCUCUAGGUGACUGUUCUGGGCAUCUUGCUAGCAAGGAGCAAGCAUGCUUUUUCUGUUGCUCCUUGUGCCACAGCUGAGGUUAUGGUGCCUUUCUUCUCUGUUCUGCUCAAAUCCACCUAACCUGAGGAAGCCACUGUGGUUUGCAGUUCAGUUACCGUUAUGAAGUAAAUAUGCUGGAUGCAGCCUGCGUGCUCAGGAUGACAAAAUGGUAGUUGCUUGAUUCAAGUUCUCCUGAAGCAGGGCCAUGAAGGAAAGUUUGUCCUUCUGCUUUUAUUUUGUGGUCUUUUUAAAGGACAGAGGAGGAUCAGGACUUGGGAUAAAGGCCUAGGAAUGAUUUCAGCAUUCAGAACUCCAACCUGACCUUAAAUCCACAUGGAGAACGGUUGCCAGACACUUUGUGGUGCAAGUCUGGGCUCCGUGUUCCAACUGACAGAGCAGCAGUUUAGGAAUAAACACUCUGUUUGCCGUACUUAUGCCA